CAGUCGCCGCGGGAAUACGGAGGGUGCAAGCGUUAAUCGGAAUUACUGGGCGUAAAGCGCACGCAGGCGGUCUGACAAGUCAGAUGUGAAAUCCCCGGGCUUAACCUGGGAACUGCAUUUGAAACUGUCAGGCUGGAGUCUUGUAGAGGGGGGUAGAAUUCCAGGUGUAGCGGUGAAAUGCGUAGAGAUCUGGAGGAAUACCGGUGGCGAAGGCGGCCCCCUGGACAAAGACUGACGCUCAGGUGCGAAAGCGUGGGGAGCAAACAGGAUUAGAUACCCCGGUAGUCCCUGUCUCUUAUAC
rnacentral:rRNA from 1 species